rnacentral:pre_miRNA from 1 species
AGUGGGAUAGCUGGGUCAAAUGGUGGUUCCAUUCCAGGUUUUCUAAGGAAUCUCCAUACUGCUUUCCAUAUUGGCUGUACCAUUUUGUAGUUCCAAGCAAU